AAGUAGGUCGGGACACGUGUUAUCUUGACUGAAGAUAGGGGGACCAUCCUCUAAGGCUAAAUACUACCAACUGACCGAUAGUGAACCAGUACCGUGAGGGAAAGGCGAAAAGAACCCCUGUGAGGGGAGUGAAAUAGAACCUGAAACCGUGUACGUACAAGCAGUGGGAGCACGCUUAGGCGUGUGACUGCGUACCUUUUGUAUAAUGGGUCAGCGACUUAUAUUCUGUAGCAAGGUUAACCGAAUAGGGGAGCCGAAGGGAAACCGAGUCUUAACUGGGCGUUAAGUUGCAGGGUAUAGACCCGAAAC
rnacentral:rRNA from 1 species